rnacentral:tRNA from 1 species
CCUCUCGUAGCUUAGUUGUAGAGCAUUGCUGCGUGAAGCCAAAGGUCGCGGGUUCGAUUCCCGGCGAGGGUG